GAUGAACGCUGGCGGCGUGCCUAAUACAUGCAAGUCGAGCGAACAGACGAGGAGCUUGCUCCUCUGACGUUAGCGGCGGACGGGUGAGUAACACGUGGAUAACCUACCUAUAAGACUGGGAUAACUUCGGGAAACCGGAGCUAAUACCGGAUAAUAUAUUGAACCGCAUGGUUCAAUAGUGAAAGACGGUUUUGCUGUCAGUUAUAGAUGGAUCCGCGCCGCAUUAGCGAGUUGGUAGGGUAAAGGCUUACCAAGGGAACGAUGCGUAGCCGAACUGAGAGGGUGAUCGGCCACACUGGAACUUAGACACGGUCCAGACUCCUACGGGAGGCAGCAGUAGGGAAUCUUCCGCAAUGGGCGAAAGCCUGACGGAGCAACGCCGCGUGAGUGAUGAAGGUCUUCGGAUCGUAAAACUCUGUUAUUAGGGAAGAACAAAUGUGUAAGUAACUAUGCACGUCUUGACGGUACCUAAUCAGAAAGCCACGGCUAACUACGUG
rnacentral:rRNA from 1 species